GACGAACGCUGGCGGCGGGCCUAAUACAUGCAAGUAGGACGCAGUUGCGAACGGGAGAGUAACGCGUAGGUAACUACCUAUUAGAGGGGGAUAACUAUUGGAAACGAUAGCUAAUACCGCAUACUAGUAGAUGGACCUGCGUUGUAUGAGCUAGUAGGUAGGGUAAUGGGCUACCUAGGCAGCGAUACCUAGCCGACUCGAGAGGGUGGUCGGCCCACAGUGGAACGAGAACAGGGCCAGAACUCCACGGGGGGGAACCGUAGGGGAUUUUCGGACAUGGGGCGAACCCUUACCGCGCCACGCCGCGGGAGUGAAGGAGGUUCUUGGAUUGUAAAGGUACGUUGUUAAGGAAGCGGUACUUAACCAAAAAGGGCCGGCUAACUACGUGCCAGCAGCCGCGGUAAUAC
rnacentral:rRNA from 1 species